CCACUCUGUAACUGUCACUCUGUAACUGCCACUCUGCAACGGCUUCCCACAUGGAUGGAGCCAUUGAGCAACUGGGCACCAAAAGCUAAGGGUGUCCUGAAGUUCACGGGCCUGGAGCAGCAGGCUGGGCCUUCCCUGAGACAGGAAUGAGGAUCAGGGCUUUGCGGACACCUCAGUGCGCUUUUCAAUGUGCUUUCCUGGGGCUACUGCACAGCCGGUGUCACAGCCGGUGACCUUCCUCCUCACUUGACUCUGGGGCUUGGUCCACAUCAUACCCAGCAGUCUUAAAACCUUCCACAGAAGGGGACAGCAAGGACCAGGUGUCCGAAGCCUUUCCCAUUGGCGCCUCUCCAGCUGCCUGCCCGUCUCCCAUUCUGAGGUCGCUCCACUGGCCCUCCAUGCUUCCCAGCUAGGGCCCUUUCUGCUCACACAGGGCCUGCCACAUUCCUGCUCCUGACAGCAGGCUCCUCCAGAUUAUGUCUGCAGAGGUUGAAGUCCAGACUUUCUAGGGAUGACUAUGCAGCCACUGAAUUGUUUUUUUAUAAGCCACCAACACAUUCAAAUGAGCACUGUGUUCUGAGAAGCCCCGAGGCCAGUUGGAAGAUGUACCAGUUCCCUUCAGUGGGCCCCCAGCUGACCUAUCGCACCGUUUUGGCUCCUCUGCUGUCAACCUUGACUUCCAGCCUAGACUUCCUCCUCUGAGAAGGCCAAGGUCCUAGGAACAGAGAUUAGGUGGCUUCUUGACUGGUCUAUGUGUCCUUUGCUGCAUCGGAAGGACGUGGUCUGCAAACCGUUCAAUGUUGGGCUUUGCCGAGGGGCUUUCUCUUAUCUCCCACUCUCCUUCCUCAGAACAGAAUUCAGCUGGUUUCAAUGUGGGGAUUAACGUAACCCAAGUGAGCAAUCUACUCUUCUGCAUGGAGAAUACUCUCAGGUCUGUUGUUUAUCUGUCUUCCGCCUACCCUACCCUAAUCUUCGGAGCUUAAAAGGCUUACGAUUCUUCUUAGGCCCGGAAUCAUUCUUAUAAGGCAACUAUUGACGAGCUAAACAGGAAUGAUUUCAAAACUUAGUGUGAGAACUUGGGGCUCCGAUUCCACU
rnacentral:lncRNA from 1 species